rnacentral:rRNA from 1 species
CCUGCGAAGGCAAGCGAAUCUCUGAAAGCUGUUCUCAGUUCGGACUGCAGUCUGCAACUCGACUGCACGAAGCUGGAAUCGCUAGUAAUCGCGGAUCAGCACGCCGCGGUGAAUACGUUCCCGGGCCUUGUACACACCGCCCGUCACACCAUGGGAGUCUGCAAUGCCCAAAGCCGGUGGCCUAACCUUCGGGAAGGAGCCGUCUAAGGCAGGGCAGAUGACUGGGGUGAAGUCGUAACAAGGUAGCCGUAGGAGAACCUGCGGCUGGAUCGCCUCCUUU